CCGGGAAGGUAGUCUGCUAUUUACCGUCUUGGCCGGGUGGGGGCAGUUCCUGAAGUUUCUGCUGGACUGUCCCCACCAACAGAGCCCCGCCCCUGGGCGGGGUACAUCAACCACACUUACUCAUUUGGGGACCGGAGUCCUGAGCACUGUGGUCCGCGGACCGGCUCACCUCACCCAGGACCCGGUUUAUGAUCCGGGCCCAUGCGCCCCAGCUCUGCAGGCACCCGUGCCGGUGCAGACGGCAUCUCCCCGGGGGACGGCCGCGGAGUGAAGCCAUGGGCCUCUGUAAGAGCAGCCGGGGAAUCAUGGGCGCCGGCCCGGCGGCUGACUCGGAAAGGCUGUGCCGGAAGCCGCCGCACGGAGAGGCCCACGCGCUGCAGAGCCACGGGAAGUCCCAUCGGCGAGGACCCGAAUCCGCACCCCCAGGAGUGAGCUUCGGAUGAGACCGCAGCCCCGCCCUACCUGGACGCCGGACCCCGGAAACCGCGAGGCCACACAGCCGGGGUUGGAGAGAGCCAGUGAAGCUUGGGGUAAUUUGCUCCCACUGUCAGAGCCCCCCCAAAGGUAGAGCCGGCUGUGGGCCUGAGCUCAGGAGGGGAGAGGGGCAGCGAGGGGGGCCACCCCUGCAGGAGGCCAGCGGUAAAGUCUCACGGCGGCAGGGGGCGGGGAGUCCAGAGAGUCUUGUAAGGAUGAGAGACGAUGCCCCGAAUGUGCCUGCUGGACAUGGUCACAGGGAAAACCGAUGACGGGGCGGGGCAGCUGUGAGGGGUCCCUGAGCAGGAGGGGCCAGAAGGGGACAGGUGUGACAGGGCGGGCAGGAGGGGGGGUGGAGAGCACAGGAAGGGACACAGAGCAGACGGAGCAGACCACUGGAUGGGUGUCCCCAGCUGCACCCUGCUGCCCGGUCAGGAGCGAGUGGCCACAAGAGGGGCUGGGGGGAGACGGGUCCGUGGUGGCUGGGGAUCUCAGCAGGGGGCAGAGGACAGCGAGGGCAGUGAACCCUGGGGGAGCUGCAAAUCGAAACCACCCUGAGAUGCCCCCUAGGACGGCCACUAGCUGCGCGCUGCUGACGGGAGCAGCCACUGGGGAGAUAGCCUGGAGCCCCCUCGUGGAGCCGCCAGUGACACUGGCUUCCGUCCCGGGCGCGUGCCCACAGGAGUGGAAGGCGGGGCCUCACACACACCCGUACACGCCGUUAUCCCGGUGCACAAAAAGGGGAAGCGACCUGAGUGUCCACUGAUGGACGAAGGGACGAGCAAGACGCGGUCCAUCCGUGUAGGCGAUCAUCCCUAGAAAGGGCGCUUCACCCCUGCUGCACCGCGGGUGAACCCUGAGGGCACCGUGUUCAGUAAAAGAAGCCAUCACAGAAACACAAAUCCUGCGUGGUUUCACGUCUAUAGGAGGUGCCAGAAUCUGGAGUGGUCAGAUUCACAGAAGCAGAGAGUAGAGACGGUGGUGCUGGGGAGGGUGCUGGUUGGGGGGGGUGAGGGUCUGAUGGGGAGGGAGUUCCAGUUUGGGAAGAUGGAGAAGUUCCUGAGACGGGUAGUGGGGUGGGUGCACAACAACGUGAAUGUACUUGGUGCCCCUGAACUAGGCACUUACAAACCGUUAGGUGACCUGGCGAAUCGUCUGUGGUGUAGAUUUCACCCGGUGAAAAAGCUGCUGAGUUAGCGGCGGGCAGCAGCCCCGAAACACAAACCUCGGGGAUUUCCACGUCUGCGACCAGCUCACGGCCAAACACCUGCCCGGCACAACGUAAAAAGGAGAACGUUGACGAUACCGAUUUGACAAUUCAAUGUUUCUUUACUCCGAACGUGAAAUAACAAAUAACAAACAACCACGGCUAGUUGAGAAAGAGACCACGGAAAAAAGGAAAACGCUUUCCUUUCUAGGUCCUUCAGUGUCCCUUCUACGGGCACUGGAGGGGGGAGCGGGGUGCCUCCCGGGGUGGGGUGCCUGCUGGGGGGGAGCGGGGUGCCUGCCGGGGUGGGGGGGGAAUGCCUGCCGGGGGGAGAGCGGGGCGCCCACCAGAAGCCUCCCCAGGCUGGCAGGCUGCUCUUGCCUGUGGGCAGAGAGGCUGGGAAGAGGUCUGGAGGGGCUCCCGCAGAACCGUGUUGACACGAGAGCCACGUCAGCACAGGUGGUCAAUAUAAGGACGGUCUGGGGGUGACUCACGUGCAGACUUCUGCCGGAGGGGCUGGAGGGCUGGCAGAGGUCCCACGAGGUCCCGCUGGGUGACCCUGGGCCGGUGCACAGCCUUCUUGUCAUUUCUGUCAUCCAAACGGCACAAACGCUCGUGUUCGUUUCUGCUGCAUUUAGUAAUUUGGAUAUUGCAAUAUGCAUAUUUUAAAAAAAGGCAUUCCCUGGGCGCGUCUCCCCCCUACCUCCCGGACUUGGGAACCCAGGUGCCCUGGGACCAUCAGGGAAUGUUCUGGGUUUCUCUCAGGCCCCAGGCCCCAGGCCCUGGCAAGGAACCAGAGCUGCCUGUGGUGUGCAGGGUGCAGGGGUGAGGCCUCCGCAGAGAAACAGCUGUAAGCGGGCGCUCUCGUUACCGCAUGGCUGUGUGCGCUGCAUGUUGAGAUGACUGUGGAUACCGGGUUAAAGAAGAGCAAUGAUUAAAAUUAAUUUCACCCGUU